rnacentral:rRNA from 1 species
AGAGUUUGAUCCUGGCUCAGAACGAACGCUGGCGGCGUGCCUAACACAUGCAAGUCAACGGGAAAGUUUCCUUCGGGAAGCGAGUAUAGUGGCGCACGGGUGAGUAACACGUGAGUAAUCUGCCCUUGGGAAGGGGAUAACGAUCCGAAAGGAGCGCUAAUACCGUAUGAGACCACGGUUUCUUCGGAAGCUGGGGCCAAAGGGGGUUAACAGCCCCCGCCUGAGGAUGAGCUCGCGUCCCAUUAGGUAGUUGGUGAGGUAACGGCUCACCAAGCCUAUGAUGGGUAGCUGGUCUGAGAGGAUGAUCAGCCACACUGGAACUGAGACACGGUCCAGACUCCUACGGGAGGCAGCAGCUAAGAAUAUUCCGCAAUGGACGAAAGUCUGACGGAGCGACGCCGCGUGGAUGAUGAAGGCCGGAAGGUUGUAAAAUCCUUUUGUCGGGGAAGAAUAACCAUGGGAGGGAAUGCCCGUGGGAUGACAUGAACCGGCGAAUAAGCCCCGGCUAACUACGUGCCAGCAGCCGCGGUAACACGUAGGGGGCGAGCGUUGUUCGGAAUUACUGGGCGUAAAGGGCAUGUAGGCGGUUUUGUAAGCCUGACGUGAAAUACCAUGGCUCAACCAUGGCACUGCGUUGGGAACUGCGAGACUUGAAUCAUGGAGAGGGAGCUGGAAUUCCAGGUGUAGGGGUGAAAUCUGUAGAUAUCUGGAAGAACACCAGUGGCGAAGGCGAGCUCCUGGCCAAUGAUUGACGCUGAGGUGCGAAAGUGUGGGGAUCAAACAGGAUUAGAUACCCUGGUAGUCC